rnacentral:lncRNA from 1 species
UAGAAAUUAAGGAGUUAAUCCUGGCCGGCCCAAACUUAAAAUUCAGGUUAUAGAGGAAAUCAGGUUAUCCAAAACAAUGUCUCAAAAUAUCGGUCUCUGAAACCCUGAUUGAGUUAUAAGAUUAUGGUAAGAAAAUGGAACUCAAAGCUGGUCAAAGGCCAAAUGGGAUGAUGUUUGCAUGCCAACUUGAUGGCGCCGGCUAUGUGCAUAACAGG